UUAGUCUCUUUACUCUUUUCUUGCAGGUAAGAGAAUUAUGAACGACAGUGGUUAUUUGAUUUGCUCAAGUGCACAUCAAUAGUUAGUAAGGGCUGGGACUAAGGCCGGGCCUCCCAAUUCUCAGUUGAGGACUUUUGACUGUACAGGUAGCCACUUGUACUCAAACAGGCUAGCAGGUGAGGGCUGCUGAGAAGAAAAGGAGUUAUUCCUCAUUUUAAGCAUUGGUUCACCCUGGACCAGAAGUUACUCCAAAAUCAACGUGAAAGUGGCAGUGAAGGAGUAGCACAUACCCUCCCUUAAUAUUCUCUCAGAAUGUUUAACACCUCCCAUGGGAAUCAAGUUGCUUCAAGAAAUUACAUAAACCAAGUCACCUUAAUCUCUGCUUAAUUUCUUCAUCUCUAAAUUAGAUAUAAUAGUGGCACCUGUUUCUUGGUGUGGUGGUGAAAAGUAAAUAAGAUAAAUGUUAAGUAAAUGUUGUUAUUUUUCUCCCAGCAACUACACUGUGUGCCAUGGGCAUACUGAAUAAAGAAUCAGUGUGAUGGAAAACACAAGACUGAAGAAACAGCCAAAAGAAGGAGAAAAGGAGGUGCUUGAUUCCAUCGCCUUCUCCUCCUGAGCCAGAGAAAGGAGCUGUCCAAAUUAUAGCUGUGAAGGCUAAAAAGUACUUACAACCUAGUCCACCGUUUCUGAAAUACUAUUUGU
rnacentral:lncRNA from 1 species